GGGGGUGUAGCUAAGUGGUAGAGUGCUUGCUUAGCAUGCAUGAGGCCCUGGGUUUGAUCCCCAUCCUUG
rnacentral:tRNA from 1 species